AUGGCCGACAAGGGCUGCCUCAAGCGCCUCCAGAAGGAGUACCACGCGCUCUGCAAGGAGCCGGUGCCGCAGAUCGUGGCGCGCCCGCUGCCCAACGACAUAUUGGAGUGGCAUUUUGUACUUGAAGGAAGUAUAGCCACACCCUUUGAAGGUGGAUAUUACUAUGGGAAGCUUAAAUUUCCCUCUGAUUACCCUUUUAAACCUCCAAGUAUCAGCAUGACAACCCCCAGCGGCAGGUUUGCCCCUCACAAAAGGAUAUGCCUAUCAAUGAGUGACUUUCAUCCAGAAUCUUGGAAUCCCAUGUGGUCUGUAGCAAGCAUUCUAACAGGACUCCUCUCAUUUAUGAUGGAUGAUGCUCUUACAACUGGAAGCAUCAGAAGUACAGAUGGAGAGAAGAAGCGUUUAGCAAAGGCUUCUCUUGCUUACAACUGUGAGAGCAAAAAUUGCCCGCACUUCAGGAAACUGUUUCCUGAGUAUGUUGAGAAGUAUAACCAACAACAAGAAAAGGAGCAAACUGGCGCGGAACCAGAACCCCAGGAGAACCAUGCCCCAGCUCCUUCUCAUGCCGCCGUCCUGCAGGCGGCAGCUAUGGUGAACAAUAUAGGAAGACCAGUGGCCGAGGUCCGCGGCGAAAAGAAGCUGAAGAAGCGAGUGCCCUUUUGGCUGAUGGUGGUUAUUGUCUCUGUUUUUGGCGCGGUGAUGGCCUUGCCCCUGAUGCAACUUUGA
rnacentral:rRNA from 1 species